UACGUAGGGUGCGAGCGUUGCCCGGAUUUAUUGGGCGUAAAGAGCGUGUAGGCGGCCAUGCAGGUCCGUUGUGAAAACUCGAGGCUCAACCUCGAGACGCCGGUGGAAACCGUAUGGCUAGAGUCCGGAAGAGGAGAGUGGAAUUCCUGGUGUAGCGGUGAAAUGCGCAGAUAUCAGGAAGAACACCCGUGGCGAAGGCGGCUCUCUGGGACGUGACUGACGCUGAGGAGCGAAAGCGUGGGGAGCGAACAGG
rnacentral:rRNA from 1 species